rnacentral:misc_RNA from 1 species
AAUGUUAAAUAAAUAAAAUUAAAUAUUAUUUUUUAAGGGUUUUUUGUUAGGAAUUAAAUGGAAUUGGGUAUAAGUUUGGUAUGAAAGUUUGUUUUUAGUAUAAUUUUAAUUUAUUUGUAUAGUUGGGUUUUAUAAAAAUUUUUAAAUUUUAGGUUAUUUUAAUGAUUUUAGUUUAAAUUUUUUCAAGUUAAGUUUUUUUUAUUUAUUAUUA